rnacentral:rRNA from 1 species
ACUCGACUCCAUGAAGCUGGAUUCGCUAGUAAUCGCGCAUCAGCCAUGGCGCGGUAAAUACGUUCCCGGGCCUUGUACACACCGCCCGUCAAGCCAUGGGAGUCGGGAGUGCCUGAAGUUCGUGACCGUAUAGGAGCGACCUAGGGCAAGACUGAUGACUGGGGCUAAGUCGUAACAAGGUAUC